rnacentral:tRNA from 1 species
GAAGAGAUGGCUCAGUGGUUAAGAGCACUGGCUGCUCUUCCAGAGGACCUGGGUUCAAUUCCCAGCACCUACA